UAUUGAAAGACAACUUUGAUCCUGGUUCAAGGCAACGAUUGCUAUUCUCCAGAGACAACAGAUACCUGCUCCAGAUCGCCGGUCGAAGUCAAACGCACRUCUCCGGAGUGUGGCAAAGUCUACUACCACGCAACCUAAACAGAACGUCGAGCAGGUGCCGUUGGAUGAGGUUAGGGAUGAUAAAAAGGAUGGAGUUGUUGGGAGGAUCCGACAAACCGGAAACGAAGUUCGCCUGUCUGACCGGCGUAGGCCGAGGCCGAAGUAUAGCCUGAAGACCGCUCAAGGAUGAAGGAUUUGGACACCUCGCCGUGCUAAUACUUUCGAGAAGCUUGAUAAG